AAGGUCUCAAGACUGAAGCUAUGUAGCAAUUACCUUAUUCCAUGGAAUAAGGUAAUUGCUACAUAGCUUCAGUCUUGAGACCUUC
rnacentral:miRNA from 1 species